rnacentral:sRNA from 1 species
GGGUGACAGAGCGAGACUCCAUCUCAAAAAAAAUAAAUAAAAAAGGGAGAAAAGAUGCUGGCUCCUGGAUCCACUCUUGUGUGUUUCUUUUGACAGGCAUUACGAGAUUGGACGACCAAAUAUUUCUGAACAGGAACCCCGGCGUCCCCUCUGUGGUGAAAUUCCACCCCUUCACGCCGUGCAUCGCCGUAGCCGACAAGGACAGCAUCUGCUUUUGGGACUGGGAGAAAGGGGAGAAGCUGGAUUAUUUCCACAACGGGAACCCUCGGUACACGAGGGUCACUGCCAUGGAGUAUCUGAACGGCCAGGACUGCUCGCUUCUGCUGACGGCCACAGACGAUGGUGCCAUCAGAGUCUGGAAGAAUUUUGCUGAUUUGGAAAAGAACCCAGAGAUGGUGACCGCGUGGCAGGGGCUCUCAGACAUGCUGCCAACGACGCG